UUAUUGCUCUUUAACGAGGAAUCCCUAGUAAGCAUGAGUCAUCAGCUCAUGCUGAUUACGUCCCUGCCCUUUGUACACACCGCCCGUCGCUACUACCGAUUGAAUGGCUUAGUGAGACCCUCGGAUCGACUCGCGGAAGCCUUAACCGGCAUCCGUUUGUUGAGAAGUUGGUCAAACUUGGUCAUUUAGAGGAAGUAAAAGUCGUAACAAGGUUUCCGUAGGUGAACCUGCGGAAGGAUCAUUAAAAAAAAUGGGGUAUUUAUACCUCUUGUAUUUAAAACAACUCUUUAAUAACCAUUUUUUAAAUAAAAAUAAAAACUUUCAACAACGGAUCUCUUGGCUCCCGCAUCGAUGAAGAACGCAGCGAAAUGCGAAAAGUAAUAUGAAUUGCAGAAUUCCGUGAAUCAUCAAAUCUUUGAACGCAAAUUGCACUCCUUGGUAUUCCGAGGAGUACACUUGCUUGAGGGUCAGUUAAUAAACAUCGUACCAUCUUUUGGUGUUGCGGAUCUGGGUUAUCCGGUUUUAAGUCGGUUACCUAAAAUUAUUAAUUAUUGUAAUGUGAUACGUACUAAGAGAGUCGUUAAUCAUUAAAACUUAAUAUAUAUUACCUCUAAUUCUUUUUUAUUGGUAAAGUAUAUAAUUUUUGAGAAUGACAUCAAGUCAAGUGAGAGUACCCGCUGAACUUAAGCAUAUCAAUAAGCGGAGGAAAAGAAACUAACAAGGAUUCCCCUAGUAACGGCGAGCGAAGCGGGAAGAGCACAAUUUUUAAAUCUAACUGGUUUUCCAGGUAGAGUUGUAAUUUGAAGUAAUGUUUUUAAUGUUCCAGGUUGGUUUAAAUCCUUUGGGAUAAGGUAUCAUGGAGGGUGAGAAUCCCGUGUAUAUCAACCGCUGGGAUGUUAUAAAUACAUUCUCUAAGAGUCGAGUUGUUUGGGAAUGCAGCUCUAAAUGGGUGGUAAAUUUCACCUAAUGCUAAAUAUAAGCGAGAGACCGAUAGCGAACAAGUACCGUGAGGGAAAGAUGAAAAGAACUUUGAAAAGAGAGUUAAAUAGUAUGUGAAAUUGUUGAAAGGGAAACGAUUGAAGUCAGUCAUGUCGGCGAGAAUCAACUUGGAAUAACUUCAAAGUGCAUUUCUUUGCUUGGCAGGUUAGCGUCGAUUUUGAACGUCAUAAAAUGAUUGGGGGAAGGUAGCUCUUUCGAGAGUGUUAUAGCUCUUGGUUAAUGUGAUGUUUGGGAUCGAGGUUUGCAACGGAUACCUUUUAGGCUAGCCGCCUGGCCUCUGAUUCGAUGUCGGAUUAUAGACAGCAUGUUGACUAUGAUCUGAUUAUUGGUCAAAAGGUUAGAGCGAGCAUAAAUUCGUUAAGGACGCUGACGUAAUGGCUUUAAACGACCCGUCUUGAAACACGGACCAAGGAGUCUAACAUGUGUGCGAGUGUU
rnacentral:rRNA from 1 species